GACGAACGCUGGCGGCGUGCUUAACACAUGCAAGUCGAACGGAAAGGCCCUGCUUUUGUGGGGUGCUCGAGUGGCGAACGGGUGAGUAACACGUGAGUAACCUGCCCUUGACUUUGGGAUAACUUCAGGAAACUGGGGCUAAUACCGGAUAGGAGCUCCUGCUGCAUGGUGGGGGUUGGAAAGUUUCGGCGGUUGGGGAUGGACUCGCGGCUUAUCAGCUUGUUGGUGGGGUAGUGGCUUACCAAGGCUUUGACGGGUAGCCGGCCUGAGAGGGUGACCGGCCACAUUGGGACUGAGAUACGGCCCAGACUCCUACGGGAGGCAGCAGUGGGGAAUAUUGCACAAUGGGCGGAAGCCUGAUGCAGCAACGCCGCGUGCGGGAUGACGGCCUUCGGGUUGUAAACCGCUUUCGCCUGUGACGAAGCGUGAGUGACGGUAAUGGGUAAAGAAGCACCGGCUAACUACGUGCCAGCAGCCGCGGUGAUACGUAAGGUGCGAGCGUUGUCCGGAUUUAUUGGGCGUAAAGGGCUCGUAGGUGGUUGAUCGCGUCGGAAGUGUAAUCUUGGGGCUUAACCCUGAGCGUGCUUUCGAUACGGGUUGACUUGAGGAAGGUAGGGGAGAAUGGAAUUCCUGGUGGAGCGGUGGAAUGCGCAGAUAUCAGGAGGAACACCAGUGGCGAAGGCGGUUCUCUGGGCCUUUCCUGACGCUGAGGAGCGAAAGCGUGGGGAGCGAACAGGCUUAGAUACCCUGGUAGUCCACGCUGUAAACGGUGGGUACUAGGUGUGGGGUCCAUUCCACGGGUUCCGUGCCGUAGCUAACGCUUUAAGUACCCCGCCUGGGGAGUACGGCCGCAAGGCUAAAACUCAAAGGAAUUGACGGGGCCCCGCACAAGCGGCGGAGCAUGCGGAUUAAUUCGAUGCAACGCGUAGAACCUUACCUGGGUUUGACAUGGAUCGGGAGUGCUCAGAGAUGGGUGUGCCUCUUUUGGGGUCGGUUCACAGGUGGUGCAUGGCUGUCGUCAGCUCGUGUCGUGAGAUGUUGGGUUAAGUCCCGCAACGAGCGCAACCCUUGUUCACUGUUGCCAGCACGUUAUGGUGGGGACUCAGUGGAGACCGCCGGGGUCAACUCGGAGGAAGGUGGGGAUGACGUCAAGUCAUCAUGCCCCUUAUGUCCAGGGCUUCACGCAUGCUACAAUGGCUGGUACAGAGAGUGGCGAGCCUGUGAGGGUGAGCGAAUCUCGGAAAGCCGGUCUCAGUUCGGAUUGGGGUCUGCAACUCGACCUCAUGAAGUCGGAGUCGCUAGUAAUCGCAGAUCAGCAACGCUGCGGUGAAUACGUUCCCGGG
rnacentral:rRNA from 1 species